rnacentral:misc_RNA from 1 species
UGGGGAUGACGUGCCGGCAG